rnacentral:tRNA from 1 species
GGAGAGGUGGCUGAGCGGGUUAAAGCGCCUUCCUGCUAAGAAGGAGCGGUGGGUUCACCGCCGCCGAGGGUUCGAAUCCCUCCCUCUCCG